rnacentral:ncRNA from 1 species
AAAGACUUAGUCCUAACCUUACUGUUAGUUGUUACCAGACAUAUACAUGCAAGUAUCCGCACCCCAGUGUAAAUGCCCCUAGCCACUCUUGCCAAGACAAAGGGAGCAGGUAUCAGGCACACCCCUGACUGUAGCCCAAGACACCUUGCUCAAGCCACACCCCCACGGGUACUCAGCAGUAAUUAACAUUAAGCCAUAAGUGUAAACUUGACUUAGUUAUGGUAAAACUCAGGGUUGGUUAAUCUUGUGCCAGCCACCGCGGUCAUACAAGAAGCCCAAAUUAACAGCAACACGGCGUAAAGAGUGACACGACGAUAUCCCUACAACCAAGGUCAAAACACAACUGAGCUGUCAUAAGCACAAGCUGUGCUAAAGCACACCCACAAAGUGGCCCCGGUUUAACACGACCAACUCACCGUCACGAAAGCUAAGGCACAAACUGGGAUUAGAUACCCCACUAUGCUUAGCCCUAAAUCUCGACACUACUCGAAAACCAAAGUGUCCGCCUGAGAACUACGAGCACAAACGCUUAAAACUCUAAGGACUUGGCGGUGCCCCAAACCCACCUAGAGGAGCCUGUUCUAUAAUCGAUAACCCACGAUACACCCGACCACCCUUUGCCCCACUCAGCCUACAUACCGCCGUCGCCAGUUCACCUAACUUGAAAGAACAACAGUGAACAUAACAGCCCCAACCACGCUAGCAAGACAGGUCAAGGUAUAGCCCAUAGGGUGGAAGAAAUGGGCUACAUUUUCUAACAUAGAUAAUCUACGGAAAGGGGCAUGAAAACUCCCCUGGAAGGCGGAUUUAGCAGUAAAGCUGGGCAAUAAUACCCCCUUAAAGCCGGCCCUGAGGCACGUACAUACCGCCCGUCACCCUCCUCACAAGCCACACGCACAGGUAAUUAACAUCAGUUUCGGCCAAAGAUGAGGUAAGUCGUAACAAGGUAAGUGUACCGGAAGGUGCACUUAGCAUA